rnacentral:rRNA from 1 species
UAGCUCUACCUUAGUUUACCCAUAACAUCAAAUUAUAUAUAAGACUUAAGAGCUAUUCAAAUAAGGCACAGCUUAUUUGAAACAGAACACAACCUCCAAUACUGGGUUAAUAUAGGUUAUUAUAACCAAGUGGGCCUAAAAGCAGCCACCUUAUAGAAAGCGUUAAAGCUCAACUAUACAUUUACCUAAAUUUCAAAAUCUAUCUUCAACCCUUAAUUACUACUGAACUAUUUUAUAUUCUUAUAAAAAAAAUUAUGCUAGAACUAGUAACAAGAAUUAGCCCUUCUCCAAAAUGUAAGCUUAAGCCAAAAUGGACAUCCCAUCGGCAAUUAACGCAAAUGUAAUUAUUAUAGCAACAUAUACUAGCAAACCCUAUAACUACUAGCGUCGACCUAACACCAGAACAUUUCAGGAAAGAUUAAAAGAGAAAGAAGGAACUCGGCAAAUCUCAGCCCCGCCUGUUUACCAAAAACAUCGCCUCUUGCUUAAACAUAAGAGGUCCAGCCUGCCCAGUGAUAUAAUUCAACGGCCGCGGUACCCUAACCGUGCGAAGGUAGCAUAAUCACUUGUUCUUUAAAUAAGGACUUGUAUCAACGGCAUCACGAGGACUGUACUGUCUCCUUUCUCCAAUCAGUGAAACUGAUCUCCCCGUGAAGAAGCGGGGAUUAACCUAUAAGACGAGAAGACCCCAUGGAGCUUAAAGCCCACACAACUCUAUGCACUUAAAUCAAUACAGCCCAAGAAACCUGCAAACGGCUUUAGGUUGGGGGGACCGCGGAGUAAAAACUAACCUCCACGACAAACGGGCCUACGCCCUUAUCCAAGAAUGACAAUUCUAAGAAUCAAUAAACUGAUGUUUAAUGACCCGAUUAUUCGAUCAACGAACCAAGUUACCCUGGGGAUAACAGCGCAAUCUACUUCAAGAGCCCCUAUCAACAAGUAGGUUUACGACCUCGAUGUUGGAUCAGGGUAUCCUAGUGGUGCAGCCGCUACUAAAGGUUCGUUUGUUCAACGAUUAAAACCCUACG